rnacentral:rRNA from 1 species
UACGUAGGGUGCGAGCGUUGUCCGGAAUUACUGGGCGUAAAGGGCUCGUAGGCGGCCAACUAAGUCAGACGUGAAAUCCCCAGGCUCAGCCUGGGAACUGCGUCUGAUACUGGAUGGCUUGAAUCCGGGAGAGGGAUGCAGAAUUCCAGGUGUAGCGGUGAAAUGCGUAGAUAUCUGGAGGAAUACCGGUGGCGAAGGCGGCAUCCUGGACCGGCAUUGACGCUGAGGAGCGAAAGCCAGGGGAGCAAACGGG